CAGGAUGUGAGCUCACACAGGGGUCACAGGGCAGUGUGUGAGCUCACACAGGGGUCACAGGACAGGGUGUGAGCUCACACAGGGGUCACAGGGCAGUGUGGGUGGGUGGCAGUGUGUGGGUCUGCACAAAUGUGUCUGGAUAUGCAGCACAUGGGCUGGCACAGGGCAUUUGUGCAUCCAAGAGCAAACAGGAGACUACACCUGGGGCUUCUCAAAGAUACACAAAGAGACAGUGAGAGGCAGCAGCAGGAGCCCACAAAGACGUGGACAAAUCAUGAGGCCACUAACCACUGAAAAGACCUGGGACAAGGUUCAGCAGCAUCUGGCAAAUGUAGAAUCUGCUCAAAAAAUGUUUAUGGAAGAAGAAAAAAAUCACAAAACCUUGAGGAAAGAAAGAAGACAGGCAGCAACCCUGUGAGACCCUUACCUCAGGAGAGGGAAGCAGGAAACAUAAGGAGACAUUUAUUUUAAGUAAACUAUAAAUAUCAGACUACAACAAAUUAAUGUAAGAAAAGAAAAGUUGGUCUGAAUCCAAAGAUUUACAAAAGGUCCUGAGCAAAUGUGUGAUUGAGACUGGCAAUGUGGUGUGUGUGUGUGAUGGUGUGUGUGCUAAUCAAGGGCUACAUCACCAGAUAUGGCAUCAUCCCCCAAAUUAAAAAUAGAGGAAAUUCAAAAUUGAGACAAAAGUGUGUCGGAGUCUCAUGGCUGAUGAUAAGAGUCCAAUCAGUGGGUGGAAAGUGAGAGUGGAGCAUGUACCUCUGAAAAUGCCUGCUGCAGCUGGGAGCAGUUCUGUGCUGCCAUGCCAUGCUGCCAUCCCCAGCACUGCCAGU
rnacentral:lncRNA from 1 species